CAAGAACUUGGAUUGGAGCUCCUGGCCAGACGGGAGGAGCACGAGUUUUCUGUCCGCAAAGAAGAACUGGCCCUGGCACAGCGUAGGCUGGAGUAUGACGAACGGAAGCUCGCUUUUGAAGAAGAAAAGCACAGAUGUGGCCAAAAAAAUGUCUAUCGCUUUGGAUACCCAUAUUCUUCUCAUUGUGUACGGUAUGAAGUGCAGUGCCGAGCUGAAGAAAGAGAGCAGCUUUUGGAACGGCUGGAAAACCUCGAGAGACGUGUCGAUAAAGAAAAUCGCCCGAACCUGUGAUGAAAGUUUGUU